AAAAAAGAAUGUCGGUGCCAGUCAGUCCAUUAGUGUAUUUGUCUUCUUUUGAAAUUAGCUAGCUAGCUAAUUGCCAAAAUGGACGUAAAUGUUAUGUUGAGCGAGAUACUAUCGGAUCCUGUAGAAUUACCCGACUCUGUAAAGAGCGUGUUGCAGACUUUAGAGUCGGCAAAACUGCAACGAGCCAGAGCUGAAGUCGCUGGAAGACUUCGGGUCAUCCUCAACAGUGUGAACACCGCUGUGCAGCGUCUCCAUCUGGCCACUCUGUUGCAGGCCGAAGAAGAGGCAGAUGAUGAAGAUGGUGACCAGUCGGCGGCCCGGGAUGUGAACAGCAGGCGUGAGCGUGCGCGCUCCGCCAUUCAAACUUGCUUUCUUUCCUGCUUUGAUAAGAAUGAGCACCUGAGCUCUGUCCUCGAGUGGCUCAACGACACUGACAUGGACCUGGCCGAGGCUCUGCGGACUGGAGACGAUUUGGCAGAUAUAACACAGGAGUGGGUGGAAGAGAUGGAGGAGAAGAUUGAGGCAUCUUUGCUGGACGUAGAGGCAAGCAUUCAGCACCUGACUCGGCUUUGUAAACUGUUUUUAACAGCUGACAAAGAGAACAGGACAGCGAAGACACAGUCAACAGACAAGGAAGGUGUUUGGUGCUGGUGGAGGGAGCCCAAAAUCAGUGGGCAAACGGUUCUGAAGAUCCAGGCCCUGGAGCCACCCUCAGUAGAGCAGCUGUCGGAGGACUUAUCCCAAGCAGUCGAGAGCGCCAACAACCUGUGCUUCAUGUUGAACGACAUGGAAACAUUCUUGUCCUGCAAGAAAGCAAUGAGCAUGGCCUUUAGUUUUGCGCAAAAUGGCCUCCAGAACAUGUGUUCAGCCUUUGUGGCGAGAACACAAGAAGCUGAGCAUCUCCGUGAUGAGUUGGAGCGCCAGAAGGCCGUGGACACUCAACAGGAAGUAGCCAAGCAGGUGGACGCAAGCGAACAGCUGCACAUUGCACAACUCAAGAAAGACCUCGACAACAAGAGCGAGGAUAUCUCUCAGAUGAAGUUGCAGAUCUCGGGCCUGGAGCAACAAAACGCCACCCUGUCACUAGAGAUCAAGAGGCUUGGGGGAGUGGCCACCGUCUAUAAACCUGUGCCGGUCAAGCAGCCCUUGACAGUGACACCUUCACCAAAGGUCCCUGUAGCCUCAGUAAUGGAGGAGAUGGAAAAGAAGGAGGAGAUGGAAGAGGAGGAGGAGGAGGAGUGGAAGGGGGUGGAGGAGGAGAAGGAGGAGGAGGAGGAGGAGUGGGAAGGGGGUGGAGGAGGAGGAGGAGAAGGAGUGGAAGGGGGUGGAGGAGGAGGAGGAGGAGGAGAAGGAGGAGGAGGAGGAGGAGAAGGUGGAGGAGAGUGA
rnacentral:lncRNA from 1 species